rnacentral:tRNA from 1 species
UCCAGGGUAGCUUAGUGGACAUGGCAUCUGCCCGGGAAGUGGAACAUUGUGGGUUCGAUUCCCAUCCCUGGAC